GGACUACAGGGGUAUCUAAUCCUGUUUGAUCCCCAUGCUUUCGUGCCUCAGCGUCAGUUAAUAGCCAGAUAGCCGCCUUCGCCUCUGGUGUUCUACCCAAUAUCUACGAAUUUCACCUCUACACUGGGUAUUCCGCUAUCCUCUCUAUUACUCAAGACAUAUAGUAAUAAAGGCAAUUCCGAGGUUGAGCCCCGGGAUUUCACCCCUAUCUUAUAUAUCCGCCUACACACCCUUUACGCCCAGUAAUUCCGAACAACGCUUGCCCCCUUCGUAUUACCGCGGCUGCUGGCAC
rnacentral:rRNA from 1 species